GAUGAAGAACGUAGCGAAAUGCGAUAAGUAGUGUGAAUUGCAGAAUUCAGUGAAUCAUCGAAUCUUUGAACGCACAUUGCGCCCCUUGGUAUCCCGAGGGGCAUGCCUGUUCGAGCGUCAUUUCACUACUCAAGCCUGGCUUGGUGUUGGGCGACGUCCCCUUUGGGGACGCGCCUCGAAACGCUCGGCGGCGUGGCACCGGCUUUAAGCGUAGCAGAAUCUUUCGCUUUGGAAGUCGGGGCCCCGUCUGCCGGAAGACCUACUCGCAAGGUUGACCUCGGAUCAGGCAGGGAUACCCGCUGAACUUAAGCAUAUCAAUAAGCGGAGGA
rnacentral:misc_RNA from 1 species